rnacentral:rRNA from 1 species
GACGAACGCUGGCGGCGUGCUUAACACAUGCAAGUCGAACGGAAAGGCCCCUUUGGGGGUCCUCGAGUGGCGAACGGGUGAGUAACACGUGAGUAACCUGCCCUUGACUUCGGGAUAACUUCAGGAAACUGGGGCUAAUACCGGAUAGGAAUCCUUGCUGCAUGGUGGGGGUUGGAAAGCUUCGGCGGUUUUGGAUGGACUGGCGGCUUAUCAGCUUGUUGGUGGGGUAGUGGCUUACCAAGGCUUUGACGGGUAGCCGGCCUGAGAGGGCGACCGGCCACAUUGGGACUGAGAUACGGCCCAGACUCCUACGGGAGGCAGCAGUGGGGAAUAUUGCACAAUGGGCGGAAGCCUGAUGCAGCAACGCCGCGUGCGGGAUGACGGCCUUCGGGUUGUAAACCGCUUUCAGCAGGGGCGAAGCUUGUGGUGACGGUACCUGCAGAAGAAGCACCGGCUAACUACGUG